rnacentral:rRNA from 1 species
CGGGUAGCGGAACACGUACAGAACUUUCCUUUAAGCGGGGGAUAGCCCGGAGAAAUCCGGAUUAAUACCCCAUAGUAAUGUUGGGUGGCAUCACUUGAUAUUUAAAGAUUUAUCACUUAGAGAUGGCUGUGCGGCUGAUUAGGUAGUUGGCGGGGUAAAGGCCCACCAAGCCAUCGAUCAGUAACUGGUGUGAGAGCACGACCAGUCACACGGGCACUGAGACACGGGCCCG